ACUGCUCAGUAACACGUGGACAACCUACCCUCAGGUCGGGGAUAAACCCGGGAAACUGGGUAUAAUACCCGAUAGAUCUCGGCUGCUGGAAUGCAUCGAGCUCUAAAGCUCCGGCGCCUGAGGAUGGGUCUGCGGCCUAUCAGGUAGUAGUGGGUGUAGCGUACCUACUAGCCUACGACGGGUACGGGUUGUGAGAGCAAGAGCCCGGAGAUGGAUUCUGAGACACGAAUCCAGGCCCUACGGGGUGCAGCAGGCGCGAAAACUUUACAAUGCCGGCAACGGCGAUAAGGGGACCUCGAGUGCCAGGUUACAAAUCUGGCUGUCGUGAUGCCUAAAAAGCAUUGCAUAGCAAGGGCCGGGCAAGACCGGUGCCAGCCGCCGCGGUAACACCGGCGGCUCGAGUGGUAACCGUUAUUAUUGGGUCUAAAGGGUCUGUAGCCGGCCGGAUAAGUCUCUUGGGAAAUCCAGCAGCUCAACUGUUGGGCUUUCAGGAGACACUGUCUGGCUCGAGGCCGGGAGAGGUGAGAGGUACUUCAGGGGUAGGGGUGAAAUCUUGUAAUCCUUGAAGGACCACCAGUGGCGAAGGCGUCUCACCAGAACGGACCUGACGGCAAGGGACGAAAGCUAGGGGCACGAACCGGAUUAGAUACCCGGGUAGUCCUAGCCGCAAACGAUACUCGCUAAGUGUCGGCCACGGUGCGACCGUUGUCGGUGCCGUAGGGAAGCCGUGAAGCGAGCCACCUGGGAAGUACGGCCGCAAGGCUGAAACUUAAAGGAAUUGGCGGGGGAGCAC
rnacentral:rRNA from 1 species